UUCGGUCGUUCAUAUUAGCUA
rnacentral:piRNA from 1 species